rnacentral:rRNA from 1 species
AUUGAACGCUGGCGGCAUGCCUUACACAUGCAAGUCGAACGGCAGCACGGGAGCAAUCCUGGUGGCGAGUGGCGAACGGGUGAGUAAUGUAUCGGAACGUGCCCAUUCGUGGGGGAUAACGUAGCGAAAGCUACGCUAAUACCGCAUACGAUCUAUGGAUGAAAGCGGGGGAUCGCAAGACCUCGCGCGAUUGGAGCGGCCGAUAUCAGAUUAGGUAGUUGGUGGGGUAAAGGCUCACCAAGCCGACGAUCUGUAGCUGGUCUGAGAGGACGACCAGCCACACUGGGACUGAGACACGGCCCAGACUCCUACGGGAGGCAGCAGAGGGGAAUUUUGGACAAUGGGGGCAACCCUGAUCCAGCCAUGCCGCGUGAGUGAAGAAGGCCUUCGGGUUGUAAAGCUCUUUCGGCCGGGAAGAAAUCGCACGGGAUAAUACCCUGUGUGGAUGACGGUACCGGAAUAAGAAGCACCGGCUAACUACGUGCCAGCCGCCGCAGUAA